rnacentral:misc_RNA from 1 species
CGGCGCACAGGGAAGGUGCGUCCGUCGACUCGUUUUGACCGCGUCGGCAUCAUGGACAGUACGUUGAGCGCUAAUGCCACGCGCCAGCGACCUCACAAAGAAGGAGACGGUGGCGAGCCGUUGUGCCAAAUCUUCGAAGAGACGGAAACGAGGCAUUAUAUUCUACUGCAGCGCGACGUGUGCGCGCCUCUAGCAAGACCGCCGCAGGAUGGUGUCGGAUACCUGCAGGGAAAGAGCGGUCCAAGCGCGAGGUGCCAACGUCCGUUGCCAUGUAGCGCGCACGUUUGCGAGAGAGUCGGAAGCGAUCGCAAUCUGCGU